rnacentral:rRNA from 1 species
GAUGAACGCUGGCGGCGUGCCUAAUACAUGCAAGUCGAGCGAACAGACGAGGAGCUUGCUCCUUUGAUGUUAGCGGCGGACGGGUGAGUAACACGUAGGUAACCUACCUAUAAGACUGGGAUAACUUCGGGAAACCGGAGCUAAUACCGGAUAAUAUUUCGAACCGCAUGGUUCGAUAGUGAAAGAUGGCUUUGCUAUCACUUAUAGAUGGACCUGCGCCGUAUUAGCUAGUUGGUAAGGUAACGGCUUACCAAGGCAACGAUACGUAGCCGACCUGAGAGGGUGGACCGGCCAAAUGGAAACGAGAAAACGUUCCAACUUCCAAGGGAGGGAAGAAGUAGGAAUACUUCCGAAAGGGGGGAAGGCCGAACGGAGCAACGCGGCGUGGGUGAGAAGGGUCUUCGGUUCGUAAAACUCUGUUAUUAGGGAAAAACAAAGGUGUAAGUAACGGUGCACGUCUGAACGUUACCAAAGCAGAAGGCCACGGUUAAUUACGU